ACAAUUCAAAAAAGAAGUUAAAAAGUAAUUAUAAAGAAUGGAGACUAAGACAAUUUUCAUGGCAUUUUUCAUAAUGACCACUUUAGUAUCAUAUGCGUAUCCAAGUUCUGGUCAAGAAGAUGUUGACGUUGAACCACUGGUCAAUCCAGGUCGCGAGUUUGAUACAUUGGAUGUGAUAUCACCGGCUUCGCAAGAUUACAAUAUUUAUAUGCUAGAGAUCCUCCCACCAAAAUACAAAAUGUAUGUCGAAACCUGCAUGGACAAGAUGGAACCCAUUGGGAAAUGUGGUCUCUAUGUUAUUAAAGAGAUUCUUACGAAUGAACCUGUUUCAAGAGAGUGUUGUCUGAAGGUAGUAAGAGCUGGAAAAGAAUGCUUCAUCGAGACUAAUAAGUUGAUGUUUCAAUUUUAUCAACUCAAACGCUUUGCUUCUCAAGUUUCUUUCAAAAUUAAUGAGGUUUGGAACAGAUGUUCUGCAGAAGUCAAAAGUCCUUCAUCAUCUGCUGAUUUUGCGAUUUAGUUAUCUUGAUUGAAGAUUUUGUUUUAUUAUAUGAUGUAUUAUGAAAUAAUGGUUUGUUAUAAUUUUAUAACUAUAUAAAUAAAAUAAACUUUUCAUUACUUAUUCGGUUUCCUAACUCUAAUAUUGUAUAUAAAAACUCUAAUGUUAUUGUAUAUAAAAACUCUAAUGUGAUAUCUUGGGUUGUUCUAACUAGUGUAAGUCUACCAUAGUUUUUUAGUUUAUUAAAUAUAAAACAUAAUUGCACAUGAAUCUUGUUAAACAAAAUCAUAUAUUUCUUUCUUUGUAACAAGAACAAAUUAUGUUGUUUGAAAAUAAAGUAGAUUUAUAAAAACAAAUAAAUAUUGAGAGAACGCUAUAAGGAAAAAAUGAAAAUUUGUAACUUUCAUUUUUCAUGAACAAAAACGUUAAUCUCAUUUUUCUGAUCCUAGCUGUGACCUAAUAUGAAAAUUUGUUAUAGAGAUUUGAGAAUUAAUUAUCUAUAUCACUUUUUCAAUGUUUUCCAUAAAAGAUAUAAAUUCUUUUGUUUUUCAAGGUACAUAUCUUCUCUUAUUUUGUAAUAAUCCACAUAUAGAAUGAAAUCAUCUUUGUGUUCACAUGAUCAAAAUAUAGAUUCUCAUGAGGAGACUGAUCAGAGAGACAAUUACUUGAUCAAAUGGACAAUAUGUUUAUGCUUAAUGGCCUAAUACUCUAUAUGAAAAGAGCAUCAUGUUUGAACAAUUCAAAAGCUUUUAUUCAAGUAUAACCAGUAAGAAAUCAGAUAAACAUAAACUCCAGAGGGAUCAACGAACCAAGAGAAUUUUUUUUAUGAUUGUCUAUGUUCUUGAUAUUUAUCUCAAACAAUGUUUCAAGUUAUAUAUCCAGAGUCUUCUUCUUCUUCUUCACUAGAUAUAGCUCUUCCGAUUCUUUGUAAAAAAGCAUAUAUACUUCAUCUACAAAUCUUCUUUGGUUUACCGAAGUCAUCACUAUAUUUAGACCAUGAAAUUAUUUCAAGAAACAUAGAUCCAACUUUCAAUUAGUUACAAUUUUUUACUUAUUUGAAAUAUUACUUCCUAUGUUUCAUAUUAAAUGUAAUUUUGUUUUUUUUAAAUGUCUUUAUACGAUUUUCAUACAUAUUUAAACAUAAUUUUCAUUUUGCUCUUAUUUUUAGUUCAUUAGUUAAUAAAUUCAAACAAAAUAUUAUAGGAGUAUUUAAUAAGGAUAAAACCAAAAUUACUAAUUUUCUUAAUUUGUAUGCAAAAACUUUAAUGACAAACAUAGUGAGUAUUUAAUUAACAAUCAAUUCCUGAAACAUAGAAAUCAAUUUAAAAAUGUUACUCUUAGAGCUAACUAAAUUAAUAAAGAAAUUAUGUUUUUGCAAAAUAACUAAAAAUGUUAUUAUAUUAAUUAAUACAAAACACCAUCAAUAACAUUCAAAACCACUUGACUACUAUAUAUAAACAAUUAUAAAUCAUGGUAAUAGGAAAAAAAAACAAAACAAUUCAAAGAAGAAGUUAAAUAGUAAUCAUAAAGAAUUAAGACUAAGACAAUUUUUAUGGCAUUUUUCAUAAUGACCACUUUAGUAUCAUAUGCGUAUCCAAGUUUUGGUCGAGAAGAUGUAGACGUUGAACCACUGGUCAAUCCGGGUCGCGAGUUUGAUACAUUGGAUGUGAUAUCACCGGCUUCGCAAGAUUACAAUAUUUAUAUGCUAGAGAUCCUCCCACCAAAAUACAAAAUGUAUGUCGAAACCUGCAUGGACAAGAUGGAACCCA
rnacentral:lncRNA from 1 species